rnacentral:piRNA from 1 species
UGCAUAGUGCAGCUGCAGGCUUGCAUGAGU